GUUACAGAUCAACUUUGACAACUAUGAGGCAAUUGUGUCUUUUGUGAACGUACGAAAUUCUCACUGGAAGUUUCUGUACAUCAAUCCUGCACAAAGCAGCGUUUAUUUGGUGGACCCAUUUCCCAUAUCCACAGAGCUGGCAGACUCCAACAAUGCUGCAAAAAGAUUCAGUGAGUACUUCAAGAUGAUGGUGUGACUGGGUGGAUACCAAAUGGAAGGGAGCUGUUAUGGAACACCCAAUGCAGCAAGAUUGCAGUAGCUGGUGGUAAUCAUG